CACCUUCCCUCCAGCCUAAGGCGCUAACCUCUGCCGUGCUCCCUCGCCCCUCGUUCCGGAGCCUCCCAAAAUGAGCGGUGGUCUGCGGUGGUCAGUGGCGGUGGCCAUGACGGUGGUUUUGUUGGUGCAAGUCGUCCCGCCCGCCACGUCUCAGCUGGACGAGCCAUCCUACUUUCUCGUGGGCAAAGAGGCAACGAAACCCAGCGCGGGUGCAGUGUAUAGCAACCAGUACAACAGGCCUCCAGUUGUACAUUUUUCAUCAUGGAACUACCAAUACCCUUCCUUCGGCUUCAACCACAACCGCCGUCCUACCCACCAAACCUACAACCGCCGUCCUACCUACCAAACCUUCUACUGGAACACUGGCCGUUAGCAAGAGCACGCUGUCUAUCAUAACUACACUGUCUAUGGCAGAGGUCGGCAACCUUAUGAACAGGGUGUGCCAGUUUAUAAUUAAUGCCAUUUUUUUACUGCCCUGAGCGCCAGGUGUUAUUUUUUUCAGCACUAUGUAGCCUAUGAAAACUGAGAUCAUAUUUGUACAGUAUGUUGUGACCAUUGUAAUUAAAGUAAAAAAAAAAUUUCUGCACAUG